rnacentral:rRNA from 1 species
AUUGAACGCUGGCGGCAUGCCUUACACAUGCAAGUCGAACGGCAGCACGGGAGCUUGCUCCUGGUGGCGAGUGGCGAACGGGUGAGUAAUACAUCGGAACGUACCCUGAAGUGGGGGAUAACGUAGCGAAAGUUACGCUAAUACCGUAUAUUCUGUGAGCAGGAAAGAGGGGGAUCGCAAGACCUCUUGCUUUAGGAGCGGCCGAUGUCGGAUUAGCUAGUUGGUGAGGUAAAGGCUCACCAAGGCGACGAUCCGUAGCGGGUCUGAGAGGAUGAUCCGCCACACUGGGACUGAGACACGGCCCAGACUCCUACGGGAGGCAGCAGUGGGGAAUUUUUGGACAAUGGGCGCAAGCCUGAUCCAGCCAUGCCGCGUGAGUGAAGAAGGCCUCGGUGUAGUAUCUUCGUUGGGGUAGGAAAGUUAG